CGUCGUGUGUCCCUGUCGGAGCAGCGACGGAGCAGCCUGCAGUGGUACAGAACAGCUUUGCUGGCCGAGCUGCCUUCACACCGGGGAGUGCUUCACCAGCAUAGUAUAUAGCAGCUGUAUCCCUUAAAAGCUCCCUGGGAAAACAGAGCAGGCGGAGAAAGAGAAUAUCACAGCUUCUGGUUCGUGUUUGAGGUUUCACCCACUUUUUCUUAGUGACCAAGAGGUGCCACAAAAGGCAUUUGGUUAACAGUCAGAAAUGUUGGCUCCAAAGGCACCGAUAUUUCAGCAGCCACCACAUGUUGAAGGCAGCAUGGAGCGCCCUUCCAUGAUCCCCGUGAUGUGUCCCUGCCGAUCUGUGGCUCGCAGCUCCUGCACGGGCUGAUCGAGGCGUGGGUGACGGCGAUGACACACAGGUGGUUGCAAACCAGAGCUGCCAAAACUCUUGCUGAGGACGGGCUCUAGACAAAGUCACUUCAUGUGAGUGGCAUUAGGGCCAGAACAGUGUUGGAAACCAUGAAAAAGAGUUUGAAGAGUGUAAAGAAAUGUUAUAUAGACAAUUUAUUAUCUUCCGAGUUUAGGUCACUACUGAAAUAUAAAUUCAUAUUAUCAAUGGAUUAAUAAAAGAGUAGCAGUCUGGUCUAUUAGCCCUUAUGCAUGGAAUGAUCUUUGCAUUUAGCUUCACUACACACCCGCACAUCCAGAAAACAUUGAAAUAUUUAGUCAAGAAGUGGCAACCAGUACCUACAGGUGAUAUAUUGUCUCCAUAAUCAGCUUUACACAUUGCUUCCUUCAGUGCUUCUGUGGAUACUUGUAUGAUCUGUCACCUUCAGCAAGGGGCCACUGCCUUAGAGCUUUGGAAAAAGCAAGCGCUUAACCCAUUGCCUCCAAAAGAAACAGAGAGAAGUGGGGGAAGAACAACCGCCGGUGCUGUCAGGGAUGAACGUGUGAGGCAACACGGGUCUGACCCCAGAACCCGGUGGCGGGAGCUGCUGCAGCUCUGGAGCCGAUGGGAGCGGGACUUGUUCUAUCAUCGCUUCGUCUUUUUUCUUUUCUCCCCAUUUUUGCACCUCGUAGCAUUGUUUGUUCUUAGUUUCAACUGUCUUCAUGAAAUUGCCAUCACCCUCACAACUUUAAGAUCCCUCUCCUGAAAAUGGAAGCCUUUUGAUCUAUUUAUCUGUGAUUUUUUCUUACUUUCAUGAGGCUUAGCAGAUGAGGCGGCAGAGGGAGAAACAUGGCGCUAAUUCCUGCGUCACUUACAAGAUUGCUAACUGCCUUCACUGCCCUAAUAGCGACCUGCAAUUUAAGCACAGGGGAUGGUCCUUUUCUGAGGAAAUAAGCCGAGCAUUUCCCUCAUGUCCUGGGGGUGCCCGGGAGGACGUGGCCGGGGCAGCCCUGGUGCGGCCCCUCACGGCGCCGGCCCCCCCGCUCCCGCCAACGCGAGGCCCCGCUGGGGGAGUGAGGGACGAGGCCUCGGCCCUGCGGUGCCGACCGCCCCCUCACAGCUGAGUCGCUGAGUCUCUUUGGGGAUAUUUUUUUUUUUUUUUUUAAAUAAAAACUUUCACUGUUGUUUCCCAGGGCGGGCCGGUUCUCGGCAGGGUGAGGGGCGGAGCAGGUCCCGCGGCCUCUCUCUCCUCAUCCUCCCCUCAGCCCUCGGGGCUCCCGCCGCCCCGUGCGUGUGAGGAUUUCGCAAGCUGUCCUGUGAGAAAGGUCAUUCCCAGCCUGGUUCCGCGGGCUUCACGGACAUCAAUGCCCCCAGGUAAAGAAAUGUCAUGAAAGCAUUUUCACGGUUGUACUCAUACCUGUUUUUUUACUACCUUGUAUUAACACCGUGGUGGUGCCAGCCUGCUCCAGCCGCCUGGAGAGGCGGUGCCGAGUGUUGGCUGAGUUGUGGGAGAAUGUGCAGGGGAGGUUUUCUUGAUUUUGCUUCUCCUGAUGUUCCCAAACGCGUGUCAGUCCCUGCAUGGUCCCAGUGCUGCAGCAUCGCGGGCUUCAUGUGGGACAUGUCCUGCUGGAAGAGGCACCACCUUUUCUAAAAAAUGUUAGGCCCAAAAUCUUCUAGUAACAACUAAAAAUCUUACUUUGAGGUUAAAAAAUAACGUAUCUAUCUAUGUCUUCAGUUUUACCUGACUGGAAGAGGAGCCUGGCUCCCAGCAAGACCCUUCCCUCACAGUAAAUGAGCUGGGCUCCUCUUUACCCAGCCUUUCAUUUGAAGGGAGGGAGAGAGAAAAAACAUAUUCUUCUUUUGGUUGAAAGCAAUGCAAUAAAUAAGUGCAUCUUCUUCUUCCAGUUGUCAUUUAUAGGCACUGUUCCCCUAGAAAUCAGCUUCUGUGCAUAAAAGCUAUAAAACAUACAUGCCAUUUGCAAAAGGACACAGCUUCUACUGUACGUUUUCUGGUCUGUUCACAAGUGCAAGUCUGCCAUAGAGGGAGGGCUAAGGGAGUGUGCAAAUGGGCUCAGUUAAUGCUUUUAUAAUGCUGCUGAAGAAAUGGUCAAGAGCUUCCAUUAGCAGAAACAAUUUUGGUUGCUAAUGAGGGACAACUGAGUUUUACCCAAAGUAGGACCCAGAAACAUUUUUCUUCAUGAGGACUCCUGUAGCUUAAGACUUGAUCAAUUGUUGCGUAAUUCCUAAUAAAUAUGCAAUAUGUUACGUGGUGGUGUAUAUCCCCAAUUCUAAACCACUCAGAUUCUGCAGGUCAGCAGAAUGAGGUGUGGUGUGGAGGCAGCGGGCAGAGGGGUGGGGACACUGAGAGGAGAAGCUGGGCAGUGGGUGCCGCGCAUGAGCUUUAUUAGUUUUGCCUCUCCCUGCCUGGCCUGAUAAUUUCUGUGAUGUUGCCAAGAGCGAUUGUGUUUAAAUAAAAUCCUUCCUUUUUGUCUGGUUUCGGCAUUGAGGCCAGGGAUGUGUGCAGGUGCAGCACAGGCCAGUGCCAGGGAUGCUGUCCACUGGGUGAUGCCACACAUGGUAUUUCUCAGUUGCUGCAGGUGUUUACCAGCUGUUCCCAUCACUAGAUAAACCUGAAGUUUUGGUGACAGCCCUCUGCUGUGUGUACUUCUCAUCUGCUCUCUGGCCUGUUAGAAUGAUUUUUUUCUAAUUCCAGAUCUCUCUUUUUGUUUUUCCUACAUUUCUCUCCCCUGACCUUCCCCACACGCCGGGCAGUGUCACCCGCACAGGCCACCGGAUCCAGCGUUUGCCAGGGCUCACACAGUGACUGUGUGGUGCGAGUACGUCUGACGCAGCAGAAGCUGCUGGGUUUGAUGUGGCUUGGGAAGGGUUGUCUGGCAGCGGGCAGAGGCACAAGAGGAAUGGGAGGUUCUGCACUUGUAAUUUUUUAUAAGGCUGCAAAUCGAUUAUGUGAUGAAAGGACAUAAGAGAAGAGGAAGCUGAGAUACUUGGCACCCCACUAGGGAGAGAAGGCAACCUUUGCUGGUAGAUGUGUUUGUACGAGCAAACAGGAAUGCUAACUCUGCUUCUCUUAGUCUCUGGGAACUGCCAGAAAAGUGCAUCUUCUUUCAUGUUGUGCUGCAAAUAUGUACACAAACAUUUCUCUUGACUUCAAGGACUUAAGUAUUCACAUAUGUAAAGCUCACUAGGAUCAGAGCCUUAGAUAAUCUACUGAUACUGGAUGACCUGACUGUGCAUCAUUAGCUCAAUGAUGCACCAAGCUCAGGGAGAGGAAAAACAAGCAAACAAAACUCUAAACCAAUCCCCGAGCCCUGAAGUAUAUUCGUGUGUGUGAGAGAAAUCUGGAAGGAGGGGAGAGGAAAGCAUAGUUAAUAUGUCUACAGUUCAUUUACAAUGCUGAAAAAUAGGAUUUUUUUUUUUAAUAUAUAUUUUUUUUUUGUCAAAAAUGUUAUUGAGAAUAGAAACACAAAGUGAGAGAAGAAUCCGUAAGGAAUCCAGAAUACCCCCAUGGCAUGUGAAACCCCACUGGAUUAAAUGGAGAAGAAGCAGGUGCUGGAAAACAUAUUGAAAGCAAUACAGGUACAUGUAAGCACCAGAACUGCAAAUUGGGCCUGAAAAACCAACUUUUUAUUUGAAGGGCUGCAAGACCUUUUCUGAGACCUGUUGGUGCAUCCUAUUGAGCCAGAGCUCCCCAGCUCAGCUGUACAGAACUUCACCCAUAAGGGUGUAGAACAAAUAUUUUCUGUCCAAGAGAGACUCAUUAAUGUCUUUCAAAGCGGAUGCAAGUUUCUCAUUAUUCCUCCGCGUAGGUCUGGGGAUGGAGCCGCCUCCGGAGAUGCCCUGUGCAGAUGUCUUCAGGCAAUGUCGAUGGCAUGAAGCAGGAGUUGUUUUCACUGAAAGAUUUAUAACCUCGUAGCCUUUCCAAGCCAAGGCAACGUGUGUGGACUGAGAACCAGCAGCAAGGGUUUUCUGACUUUUCUGCGCUAUUCUCUAAUACUGACUAGCCUGGAGAAAUCAUUUUCGGUCUAAAUGUUUGCUGUGCCGGGUCCUCAGCACGAGGAAUGAAAUGUCAGGGGGUUUUCAAAGGCACCGAAUGUUUCUGACUCCUAUUUGAAUGCAAGCUGCAGGUUUUGAGUCCUGAUUAAAAAAAAGAAAGAAAGAAAAAACACACCAAAAAAACAACCACCUAAAAACCCCCAGCCCAUGGAUCUUAAUUUAGGGCUCUCCAAAUCAGAAGCCACUUUGAAAGACACGCAGAAGCAGAGAACAGCCGAUAGAUUUCCAUAUCCUGCAGGGUUUUGGCAUGAAUCCCCGUCUUUGGUUCCAGGCAGCAAAAUACAAAGAGAUGUCUGUGAAUAGGACCUCGCUGGGUGUCCAGCCCUCUGAGUGAAAUUUCCUGUGCAGAGGAUGGUCUCGGCCUACAUUUUCUAGUUAUUAUAUAGAAUUUAUUUCCUGCUAAGCUAUAAAAAAAAAGUGUAAAAAUACAACCUUUGCUGAAUUCCCACCUUAUAGAGCUACUUCGAGCUGUACAGGCAGAGUUUGUGCUGGAGAAGUUGACAUUGAAUAGGGUAGUUCAAGAGAGACACCAAAGCUGAGCAGAAACAUCCUAUAAAGAUGAUUUGUCUUGUUUGCAAUAUUUUAUCAGUUGAUCCAAAUCAGAUUUUGGAGUAAAACCAUGAAAGUCAACAACCAACACCCAGGAUGAAUGUAGCUCUUAAAGUGCCAUUGAGGCUUCUUGAGAGACACGCGUCCCAGCGACUCCUUUAGCAGUCAUUAAGCCAAUUAUCAUCCCAGUCUAUUUCCAACAAUUAUCAUUAUAGACUUUUGGGGUUUAAUCAGCUUUUUAAUUGACCUGUGAAUAAGACAGGAGAUACAACAGCCUCCCCUGAUACCUCAGGUGUAACCAUUACACACUUAGCGUUGCUGUGCACAGGAAAUCAUUUACACCAUAAUACUGAUCUGAGGCUGGGAUGUGAACAACAAUAUUCCUAUAAAUGAAGGAUAAAAAGAAGGACAAUAAAGGAGAUGAGGGGGAAGGUAGUAAUCCAUAAGGAGAAUGUCACCGCGAUUGGUGAUGUUGCUUCUGGGACUUCUUGGCCAGCAAACGGGGAAAAGAUCUUUUUUUUUUUUAUUCCAAAACUGUAUGCAACACACAGAAUAAAUUGUGACACAAAAACUUUUGACCAUCUCUUAAGUGCUACAAUUAUUGAAUUGAGUUGCAGAAAUGUCUUCAGACAAUUGCUUGGGACUUUAAAAAAGAAAUCAGCCAUUUAGGUGUAUGUCCCUCCUGCAAGCAACUAACUUUUUUAAUGCCACUUGCCUGGGUACAGCGCUGCAAAGCGGCCUGAAUGCAGCAAUUUGCGGGAUUUGGCACUGUGAGCCGCGCAAGCACUUAGCAAAAGCAAUUGUGUAGCUCUAUUGAAAAUCCCGCGUAUCAUGCUGUGGGGAGCCAGCACUUUUUAUCUGUCGGCACUGCUGGUGACAAAUAUUAAAAUAAAAAGUAUGACACUAUAGGUGCUUCAAAAUUCAAACUGCAAGUUUCCUACUGCGGGACUUCUAACCAUGUAAUAAAGUGCAGGGAAGAAAGCAGAGUUCAGACCCCAUGCUGCAAUAAAGGCAAGGAAAUCUUAAGUGUUCAAAUACAUAAUUCAUUCUCUUCUGAUACUUUCUCCCAGGUUUCCACCAGUAAAGAUUUUAAUUUGUGCCUAGAUGAUACCAUCUUUAAUUUCUCUUUUCCCUGAGCUUUGCGGUGGGUGAAGCCAAUGGUCACGACAUGUCGCAGAGCUCCUUGGCCACUGGUGAGGGUGCGAUGGCCCCGCAGGGGGGAGGAGAAGGAACCCCCAUCUCUGAGAGGCCCUGCAAGGAUGUCGCAACGGUUAACAGGAGUGAGAAACCCAAGGAAGAUUGUGGAGGCAGGAGUGACGCUGAUUACACUGGAAGAUGUUUUCAUGUCUUUAAUAUUUUUUAUUUAAUGCUGCUAUUAACUACACACUGUAAAGCAGAACCAGCAUUUGGAAAAGGUUCCUCAAGGACCUGAGUGAGGAGAGAUGUUUCAGUGGGAGACUGCAAGUAAAGAGCGUGACUCCGUUUGCAGGUCCCGGCCUUACACACAGGGGAGAAGGUGGAUGCUGAGGGCAAAAGGGUACUGGAUUGGAGGGGGUUUCUGUGCUGCUCCACAGAAAAUUGUGAGUACCCUUUUCACUGUUCUACCUGCAUACAACUCCUGGGUUAUUUUUUUUAUGAGGUUUUUAAAUGUGGAAUUGUUUCACCCCUUUAGCUUCACGGAAAUAACUUUUCUGACAAAUGUUGUAAAACUAGAUGGAGAUCCUCAAACAGAAAAGCUAAACUUGCAGGCACUAACACAAAUAACACAGAAAGUCUUUUGUGACAGGUUCUAAUUUCAGAGGUACUGCAUGCUGCAAGGUUACUGGAAUUUACAGCAGGGCAGAAAGCAGGUGCUCUAGAGAUACUGUCAGCCGGUAGCCCCCAUUUUUCAUUCAUGCCCUGUUCCCUUUGCAAGAUGAAAUAUGGUUUUGCUUAAAAAUCUUUCCUGUACUCUAUAACCAGCUUUUUAAAGAGGAAUCACCAACCAACUGGCGUUGCCGGUGUUGACUUAUUUUUAAAGGCGU